rnacentral:rRNA from 1 species
GCCUACGGGGGGCAGCAGUCGGGAAUAUUGCGCAAUGGAGGAAACUCUGACGCAGUGACGCCGCGUGCAGGAAGAAGGUUUUCGGAUUGUAAACUGCUUUAGACAGGGAAGAAACAAGACAGUACCUGUAGAAUAAGCUCCGGCUAACUACGUGCCAGCAGCCGCGGUAAUACGUAGGGGGCAAGCGUUAUCCGGAUUUACUGGGUGUAAAGGGAGCGUAGACGGCUUUGCAAGUCAGAAGUGAAAUCCAUGGGCUUAACCCAUGAACUGCUUUUGAAACUGCAGAGCUUGAGUGGAGUAGAGGU